rnacentral:rRNA from 1 species
CAGUCGCCGCGGGAAUACGUAGGGUGCGAGCGUUAAUCGGAAUUACUGGGCGUAAAGCGUGCGCAGGCGGUUAUAUAAGACAGAUGUGAAAUCCCCGGGCUCAACCUGGGACCUGCAUUUGUGACUGUAUAGCUAGAGUACGGUAGAGGGGGAUGGAAUUCCGCGUGUAGCAGUGAAAUGCGUAGAUAUGCGGAGGAACACCGAUGGCGAAGGCAAUCCCCUGGACCUGUACUGACGCUCAUGCACGAAAGCGUGGGGAGCAAACAGGAUUAGAUACCCCCGUAAGUCCCUGUCUCUUAUA